CAGUGGCAGUUGCUGAGCUGAAAAUUGGCAGGGAGGAAACCUUCCCAUUUAAACUGAUCAUUAGUCUAAACCCGUUUUCAUUCAUUUUCAUUGAUUAACAAGUGUGCUAACGGUCUGAAGAACCAAUUGGCAGAUCUGUCAUGAAUAUUCCCCAAGUGUGGGUGCAGAGAACGAAGAGUACAUGAAUCCACAAUUUGACCUUUCCCUCUUAGUGGACAAGUGGACCCAAACCAUGCCAGGAAAAUGCCCCAAACAGCAUAACAGAGCCACCAGACCACCUCACUGUAGGGGUCAAUCAUCCCGGCCUGUACCGUUCUCUUGGUGCACGCCACACAUGCCCUCGCCCACUUGUGG